AUUCAGCUGGACUCUAAGCUGCCUUGCAAAACAAGUUGUCCAGAUGGAGAUGUUUGGGCCCUGAGUUGCCAGCAGAAAUCUGGGUGUCAGCAGAUGAAUGCACUGGAUGCAAUGCUGGAGGCCAGCACUAUCAAUGCUCACUCCCAGUCUAUUCUGCACAAAUCAUCUUUGGAAAUCUCUGGAGGCAAUUUGAUCCUGCAAGUCUUCAGGUUCAAUUGGCAAGCUAACAGAUAAGAGUGAAUGCACUGCAGAUUAGCAUCCAGCUUUGAAUUCUUAUCCAGUCUUUUGGAGUUAGGCUCAUCAUCAGUUUUCUAAAGGGUUUCAAGUGCCAUCCUUUGCGCCAAUUCCCAGUCCCAAAUCAAUCAGUUUCAAGCCUCAUUUUAUAUUCAACAAAUGUGGAGAACCUCUCGAUUGCUGACAUUCUUUUCCUACUUUUUGACACUUUCCGUUCAGAUUGCAACUAUUUUUUUAAUGAAUUCUUCCAAGCACCUGGCUAGACUGGAGAUAGCUGAUUUAUAAACAAUGGCCAGAUUAUGGGAUUCCCCCUUUUUUGCAAUAAAAUCCAGCAUGAAAUCACUUGACAAAUGUACUUGUUCAGUUAUCUUCAUUAUGAUAAAUUAUUUUACAUCAAAUCACAACCAAAUAGACUGAAUCAUGUGAGAGCUGCUUGACACUCUGAAUAUAUUGCUUUGUUUUUAAAACCUUUUAGCAAUUGGCCCAUAAAUAUGUUGUAGCUAAGGAGUACUGCAUCUUUAAGUAUAUUAAAUGCAGUCUUCUGUGACCAAACAUAAUAGGAUUUUUAAAUGAAUUUUAAUUGCAGUACUUAAGAAACAACUUUUUAAACUUUCAACAUGUGCAAGGCCUUUUGAAACUGACCAAUUCAAAUUAAACCUGGACAAAUAACCGUCUUUUUUGAUAGCAUGGUUACAAGAUUAUAUCACCUGUCAAUGUCAAAUAUAUGGAUAAAUGGGGGAAGUUUAAGUGUGUGUCUAUGUAGGGCUCAGAUUUAAAUCCUCUCAACAGGGGAUUUCAAAGAGAAAGAAAUGCAAUA